rnacentral:rRNA from 1 species
GACGAACGCUGGCGGCGUGCUUAACACAUGCAAGUCGAACGCUGAAGCUUGGUGCUUGCACUGGGUGGCUGAGUGGCGAACGGGUGAGUAAUACGUGAGUAACCUGCCCUUGACUCUGGGAUAAGCCUGGGAAACUGGGUCUAAUACUGGAUAUGACAUGCCACUGCAUGGUGGUGUGUGGAAAGGGUUUUACUGGUUUUGGAUGGGCUCACGGCCUAUCAGCUUGUUGGUGGGGUAAUGGCCUACCAAGGCGACGACGGGUAGCCGGCCUGAGAGGGUGACCGGCCACACUGGGACUGAGACACGGCCCAGACUCCUACGGGAGGCAGCAGUGGGGAAUAUUGCACAAUGGGCGGAAGCCUGAUGCAGCGACGCCGCGUGAGGGAUGACGGCCUUCGGGUUGUAAACCUCUUUCAGUACGGAAGAAGCGAGAGUGACGGUACGUGCAGAAGAAGCGCCGGCUAACUACGUG